GACGAACGCUGGCGGCGUGCUUAACACAUGCAAGUCGAACGGAAAGGCCCUGCUUUUGUGGGGUGCUCGAGUGGCGAACGGGUGAGUAACACGUGAGUAACCUGCCCUUUACUUUGGGAUAACUUCAGGAAACUGGUGCUAAUACCGGAUAGGAGCUCCUGCUGCAUGGUGGUGGUUGGAAAGUUUCGGCGGUUGGGGAUGGACGCGCGGGUUAUCAGCUUGUUGGUUGGGUAGUGGCUUACCAAGGCUUUGACGGGUAGCCGGCCUGAGAGGGUGACCGGGCAAAAUGGGACUGAGAGAGGGACCAGAGUCGAACGGGAGGCAGGAGGGGGGAAUAUUGAACAAGGGGGGGAAGCCUGAUGAAGAAACGCCGGGGGCGGGAAGAAGGCAUUCGGGUAGUAAAAAGAAUUGGGCUGAGACGAAGAGUGAGUGACGGUAAUGGGUAAAGAAGCACCGGCUAACUACGUG
rnacentral:rRNA from 1 species